UACGGAGGAUGCGAGCGUUGUCCGGAUUUACUGGGUGUAAAGGGCGUGCAGCCGGGAGUGCAAGUCAGAUGUGAAAUCCCGCGGCUCAACCGCGGAACUGCAUUUGAAACUGUGCUUCUUGAGUGCUGGAGAGGCAGACGGAAUUCCUAGUGUAGCGGUGAAAUGCGUAGAUAUUAGGAAGAACACCGGUGGCGAAGGCGACUUUCUGGACUGUAACUGACGUUGAGGCACGAAAGUGUGGGGAGCAAACAGG
rnacentral:rRNA from 1 species